rnacentral:lncRNA from 1 species
GAUGCCUCCCUCUCCUAACCGAUCCUUUCUAAAAUACUAAAAAAAUCACUUUUUUGUAAAUUCUUUUGAACCUUACCUUUUCUUAUUAUUCCACCUAGAUAAAUCUAAAUGGACAAAUUUAUUAGGCCGAAUAAUUCCAUAUGUAUAGAAAUAUCAUUAUUUGAUUGAUCUAAGUUCAUGCAAUUUAUUAAUAAAAAUGAAUAAAUUAUUUAUUAAUUAU